rnacentral:rRNA from 1 species
AGCGUAGGCGGUUUUUGCAAGUCAGAAGUGAAAGGCUACGGCUCAACCGUGGUAAGCUUUUGAAACUGCAAGACUAGAGUGCAGGAGAGGCAAGUGGAAUUCCUAGUGUAGAGGUGAAAUUCGUAGAUAUUAGGAGGAACACCAGUGGCGAAGGCGACUUGCUGGACUGUAACUGACGCUGAGGCUCGAAAGCGGUGGGGAGCGAACA